rnacentral:lncRNA from 1 species
UACAACAUAAGGAAAUUAUUGUUAUUGAAUACUAUUAAUUUUUGUACAAAGAAAUGGAAGAUGGAAAUUAUAAUGGUGAAAUUAAUAUGAUCUAUGGCAUCAGUUUCAAUCCACGAAGUUGUGUACGUUUGUCCUUCUAGGACAUCAUCCAAGUAGAUAUCGCAAAAAUCAUCUCCCACCUCAGUCAAGCUUCUACUUCCUCCCCUUGAGUGUCCCUGUGCCAAUAAUCCAGGUCAUGGCUUGGUGAUGGGGAAGGCAUUGGCUCCAAAUCACCCAAAUGAAAGUUAAGAUCAACUGAAUCGGAACCAUGACUUUCCUCUCCUUCGCUAAGACUUUCCGGUUCCAUCAUUAAACCUUGGAUAUCGAUCGUGUUCAUAUUGAUUUCGGCUUCUAAUGAUCUCAUCAAGCUAUCCAAUUCGUCGUGGUUGUUCUCUUCACUCGUCGAUUCUUCGAGGAAGGACAUGAGAAGUGCAUUGUUGAAGUCAUUGUCACAGCUGAUGCAGAAUGAAUUUUCUUGCACUAGAAAUGCCAUAGCUGAUAAGGACUAAGUGGGAAACAAAGCUAGUGAAAUUGCUAAAAUGAUGAGAAUUAGAAUUGAAAAAGUAUUGAAUCACA